UGAAGGAUGCCCUGGAGUAAUUCUCAUCAGGCCAUGGUGAAGUCAGCAAUUUUAGGAUCUGCAUUUGUUUGCUUGCAAAUCAUAUAUUUGAAUGCCACAGGUUUUGACCCAAGAUGUCUAAAACACUGGGACAGAAGUAGUGUGAGAAAGAAGACUCCACAAGUUUCCAGAAGGCAAAACAAAACAAAACAGGUCAUGUACAAAAAGAAUCUGGGACUGGAAUGACUGGCUAUGUCAAUGGAAACAACAGAAACAAGAUAAUGGAGCACUGCCUUUGAAUUUCUGAGGUUAAGCAAUUUUCAAAGAAGGGUAAGGCUAAAGUAAUGAUAGUUUCAGAAAAUAAUGAUUUCCAGACAUUCAUGGCUUCAGGUUGUUUACCUUUCAUGUAUUCUUCCUCAGUAAGCUACUGGAUGGUAUGUUCUACCAAAAGGAGAGAGUAAAUAAAACAUGGAAAACAUGGAACUCAGGAAAAAGGGUAUCCGCGCAGGAAAGGGGCAAAGGGGUUCUCACGACAAUGAUGAAUAGUAGGUACAUACUCAUAAUAAUGUGAUGUAAGAAAAAUUAUGAU